rnacentral:rRNA from 1 species
AUGACAGAUUCUCCCCUGGGAGCCAUGGGCGUGAGGCGGCCGUUUGUUUCCUUUUUUGGUUUGCCAGCUGGAUCCGGGGAGAGGCCCACUACUAAUUUUGGGCUUUUUCAAGACGCUAUCCUGACUAGAGAAGUAGUGAAGAAGCGGAAUUGGGCUGGUUUGAUGGCUGGUGAGGACCGUGAAGCCAUGGAACGGGGAGCCAAGAUGCUCAGGACUAAUGCUUCGACGAUGAUGCGAAUCUGUGCAGCUCUAGCAGAAGCAGCUGUGGAGUGA